rnacentral:misc_RNA from 1 species
GCCUAGGUUGCACAAGAAUGUUGCGAAUUCCAUGUUCUUCUGCUGAGGUGCUGCUGACAAUUUUUCGUAAAUAGUGAGUUUUCUCAUGUUGCCCAGUGCGACCAAGGCUUAAUGCUUCUGUUUUUCUUAGGAGUUCAGUAGUAUCAUCCAACGCUUUUUCUAUAGCUAAUUAUUAUCUCAACACAAUGAGAGAUCAAUUUUGCCUCGAAACUUAUCCUGAUCCUCUGAGUAGACGGAGAAAGGUUAGGGGAGGACUGGAGUUUGUCCCUUCAUUUCUUAAACCUGUGAAAGAAGAUUUGAGGAAUAAAGGGGUCUACAGUUGACAUAGGUUUAUAAUUAGAAAAUGAAUGUACAUUCUAUUUAGAUGUUUCAGGAUCUCAGAUCUUCUUAACUGGCUUUGUGCCCCCUUACGAAAUGAAAUGAAAUCUUUAUGUUAA